CAAGUCUUGACAUCCCAUUGACGAGAGGGCAAUGCCUCUUUCCCUUCGGGGCAAUGGAGACAGGUGGUGCAUGGUUGUCGUCAGCUCGUGUCGUGAGAUGUUGGGUUAAGUCCCGCAACGAGCGCAACCCCUGUGCUUAGUAGCCAGCAGUAAGAUGGGCACUCUAGGGAGACUGCCGGGGAUAACUCGGAGGAAGGUGGGGACGACGUCAAAUCAUCAUGCCCCUUAUGACUUGGGCUACACACGUGCUACAAUGGCGUAAACAAAGGGAAGCAGCCCUGUGAAGGUGAGCGAAUCCCAAAAAUAACGUCUCAGUUCGGAUUGUAGUCUGCAACUCGACUACAUGAAGCUGGAAUCGCUAGUAAUCGCGAAUCAGAAUGUCGCGGUGAAUACGUUCCGC
rnacentral:rRNA from 1 species